rnacentral:rRNA from 1 species
ACGGCCGUACCACGCUGAAUAUACCGGUUCUCGUUAGAUCACCGAAGUCAAGCAUCAUUGGGCGCGGUCAGUACUUGGAUGGGUGACCACCUGGGAACACUGCGCGCCGU